GCAUUACCAUGCAAAAAAAUUUUGGUGGAAGGUGGUUUUUCUCUGGAUCCCAUCUGUACAUUUACUCCUGAAUUGCAGGGAAAUAAGGGCACCAUUUAACGGACAGGCUUCCCUAGACUCGACUGACUGGAAUCAAUCCUACAACCAGGAGAUGAGAUCUUAAUGUGUUUGGGAGUGAUUGUGGAGGGGAUGAUGGGAAGAGAGACACAUGAUUAUUCUGUCCACCAUCCAGCUUGUAGUGUCUCUUUCCCAUGAUUUUAAUGAGGUUGCGGAAGGCUGAAGGAAUACAAGAGACA